UACGUAGGCAGCGAGCGUUGUUCGGAGUUACUGGGCGUAAAGGGUGUGUAGGCGGUUGUUUAAGUUUGGUGGGAAAUCUCCCGGCUCAACUGGGAGGGUGCGCCGAAUACUGAAUGACUCGAGUGCGGGAGAGGAAAGUGGAAUUCCUGGUGUAGCGGUGAAAUGCGUAGAUAUCAGGAGGAACACCGGUGGUGUAGACGGCUUUCUGGACCGUAACUGACGCUGAGACACGAAAGCGUGGGUAGCAAACAGG
rnacentral:rRNA from 1 species